rnacentral:rRNA from 1 species
AUUGAACGCUGGCGGCAGGCCUAACACAUGCAAGUCGAACGAGUGGCGGACGGGUGAGUAAUGUCUGGGAAACUGCCCGCUGGAGGGGGCUAACUACUGGAAACGGUAGCUAAUACCGCAUACUAUCGGAUGUGCCCAGAUGGGAUUAGCUAGUAGGUGGGGUAACGGCUCACCUAGGCGACGAUCCCUAGCUGGUCUGAGAGGAUGACCAGCCACACGGGGACUGAGACACGGUCCAGACUCCUACGGUAGGCAGCAGUGGGGAAUAUUGCACAAGGGGCGCAAGCCUGAUGCAGCCAUGCCGCGUGUAUGAAGAAGGCCUUCGGGUUGUAAAGUACUUUCAGCGGGGAGGCGUUACACGCAGAAGAAGCACCGGCUAACUCCGUGCCAGCAGCCGCGGUAAUUC